AAAAAGGCAAACCCUGGGUUUCCGUGUCCAACUUUGACUGUCCGUCUUAUAUGAAAUUUUUUUAUAAUUCGUAUUUUUAUUGUUGUUAGAUGAUAAAAUAUGAUUAAUACUUUGUGCGUGACUUGUCUUUUUAAUUUUUUUCAUAAUUUUUUUAAAUAAGACGGACAGUCAAACGUUGGGCACGAAAACCAGGGUUUGUCUUUUU
rnacentral:pre_miRNA from 1 species